UACGGAGGGUGCAAGCGUUAAUCGGAAUUACUGGGCGUAAAGCGCGCGUAGGCGGUUCGAUCAGUCGGAUGUGAAAUCCCCGGGCUUAACCUGGGAACUGCAUUCGAUACUGUCGGGCUAGAGUGCGGUAGAGGGGGGUAGAAUUCCAGGUGUAGCGGUGAAAUGCGUAGAUAUCUGGAGGAAUACCGGUGGCGAAGGCGACCCCCUGGACCGACACUGACGCUGAGGUGCGAAAGCGUGGGGAGCAAACAGG
rnacentral:rRNA from 1 species